rnacentral:rRNA from 1 species
GACGAACGCUGGCGGCGUGCUUAACACAUGCAAGUCGAACGGAAAGGCCCCUUUGGGGGUGCUCGAGUGGCGAACGGGUGAGUAACACGUGAGUAACCUGCCCUUGACUUCGGGAUAACUUCAGGAAACUGGGGCUAAUACCGGAUAGGAAUCCUUGCUGCAUGGUGGGGGUUGGAAAGCUUCGGCGGUUUUGGAUGGACUCGCGGCUUAUCAGCUUGUUGGUGGGGUAGUGGCUUACCAAGGCUUUGACGGGUAGCCGGCCUGAGAGGGCGACCGGCCACAUUGGGACUGAGAUACGGCCCAGACUCCUACGGGAGGCAGCAGUGGGGAAUAUUGCACAAUGGGCGGAAGCCUGAUGCAGCAACGCCGCGUGCGGGAUGACGGCCUUCGGGUUGUAAACCGCUUUCAGCAGGGGCGAAGCUUGUGGUGACGGUACCUGCAGAAGAAGCACCGGCUAACUACGUG